GCCGGAAGAGUUACUGGAUGCAAAAUGUUUCUCCAUUAGAAUCUAAUAUUAUCAAAAAUUAGAAUAAUAUUGUAUUUAUUAAAUUGUAUUUUUGAAAUGUCACAAAACAAAUAGAUAUAUACAGAAUUAAAGAUAAAACAACUAAUUCGAUUGACCGAUUUUCAAGGAAUGGAAUUUAAAAUGCAAGAAAAAGAUCGUAUUAAUAAAAAAUCUGAAAAAACGCGUCAAAUUAUUAUAGAAUAUUUAGUUCAUGGCAAUUACAUCAACAUUAAAUCAUUGAAAUGUAAAGAAACAGAAAGACCUAGUAUAUAAUAGAACAAAUUUAUUUCAAACAUACACAAGUUUGUCUUUUUAAAUUGCACAACAGAAAAAUGACUGAUAUUAUGAAUACAUCAUCUCAAGAGGGUUUUAUGAAGAAGAAAUGGAAAGCAAUGAAAAUACCUUUGUCAUAUAUCAAAAGUGCAAUUAUACGAAAUUUAUAGGUGUAAUUUAUAAUUUUGCACCCAUAGAUUAUAACAAUUGUGGACAUCUUAUUUGAAAAAAUUAAUGUGUUCA